rnacentral:lncRNA from 1 species
UGCUUUGAACAUUGCUUUCGGUCACGCUUCACACUGUAGCUGGCCCUUAAUAGACCUGGCCAAGCCCCGUCUCCGUGAUUAGGGUGGUCGCUGCCAGGAAAAAGGUCAGCCAUGGCCAAGAAACUAGUUUUCCUUGGUUUGACAUUGAGGAGUUAAGUGAAUCACCCACAGCAGACAAGGAGCAGAGCCAGGAUUAGAACCCAGGUCCUUCUGCCUCUGCUCUCUCCACAAGGACACCCUGCUUCCCAAUCUAAGCUGCUUCUUGCUGGACUCCCUCCAAAGGCAAGCAGCAACAUAAGCAGAAAAUAAUAUAAAUCAACCCUGGCCACCCUCCCCUCCCAAUUUGUGGCACCUGUGGAGAGGUCAACCUAGGGAGCUGGGAGCAGCUUCUCUUCGUACAUGUUCUAGCGACUGUUAGGGUCCAUUAUUCAAUAGUAUUUAUUUGUGUGUUUACUUAUUUAGGGUCCAUUAGGAGAAUGUGGGCUUGGCUCAGGGGGUAUUUCAGUGUGUGCGUGGAGUAGCUUUUGUUGAGUGACGUGUGGGUGUUCUGUUUGUGUGCAUGGGAGGGUUAUAUGGUGUCAAGGAGGAAAACUAUGGAAUGUCAUCCCUGUCUCUAUCUCCCUAGCCCCAAAUAAAACUGGGCCUUUCUACUAGUGUUUUACAUAGAAAGCACCAUAUAUGUCCCAAAUCAAGCAGGAAGAUUUCAUGAUUCAGGGAAUGGACCCAUAAUUCACUUGAGGUCCUGCCUACUGUUCCCCGGUUGCUAUAGCAACUUUUGUAAUUACCCUGUCACUCUAUCAUUUAAGAUAUUGCAUUAAAUGGGGAAAGUGAAUUGAACUUGGCAAAGGUUGAAUUAGUUUAGCUUGGCCCAUCUAAACUAUGCUGAAGCUGCCAACCUGAUAUGGAUCCAGAAUGUUGCUAAACAAAUGGUAUGUGAUGCUGCUUUAGCUGCUCCUGAUGGAUGAAUGCUGAAAGACCAAGGCAAGGGGCUCCGACCAGUUAUAAUACAGUCCUUUUUGAAGUGCAGGGCCCAAAUUCGCCUUCCAUCUCGACAUUCGGUUUUAUCUGGCUGGUGAGACUCACUAUGGACCCAAUGAAUAAACACGAGCCAUCAUUCUCCAUCUUCAUGUCCAGGACCGGAGGCAAACAUGAAACACAGUAGGACCUGUCUUCUUAUAGAUAAUGAAAAUAAAUGAGAUCGAAUGAAUGAAUGAAAACUGAAAAUGCUAUUUCCCACAUGGUGCUUGACUGGACUCAGGCAGGUAAUUAUGGUAUUUGCUAAGCACU